CGGAGGAGCGCGGGUCGUGCUGCCGAGGGUGCAUCACCGCGCCCGAGCGCCGUGCCGGGAACACAGUGUUCCCUGCCCGCCCCUGAACUGCGAGUGAACUUCCCCAGCCCGCGGUGCACCGGGGACCGCGCAGAUACACCCCGGGGGGCGGGAACGGAGGCAGGGAACAAGAACAGCAGGAGGGGUGGAGGGAAGGAAGUUCCAAAAGGGUUUAUUUCAUCGUAGGCCAGGAUUAGCACUGCUGAAGAGAAAUGAAAUAUAAUUGAUGUGAACUUAAAGGGACAUUUUCUGUCACAAAAUACCUCCCCUGGAAAACUUCCAGUCAGUGGUCCUGAUUGACACAGGAGAUUCCAGGAAAAGAAAAGAAAAUCUGAUGGAGAAGACUGGGGUCUGUUCAUAUUUCUGCCAUAAAGCUGUGAUGGUUUUGGUUAA